CUCGCGUCUGUGAUACGCGAUUUUCUAAUGAGUACCAGUCCGUGCAGCUAACCCCAACACCAGUCGUCGUCCCCAUUUGAUUCUCUCUCUCUCUCUCUCUCUCUCUCUCUCUGUAUACAUGUAAUAUUUCCAUGGAUCUUCAUUCACAAAUGGGCAUCAAUCUUCUGUAAACUGAUUCUGGCAUCACAUAUUGAGGUGCUCCAAUUGCUGGCUCAGCAGUCGACCAGUUAGAGGACGUCGUGGGUUACGUGAGUUUUGGAGGACACCACAAAGCCAUUCUACAAUCUCCUAAACACGAAGCUUUUUGUUAUGGGUACCCGAGAUGGAUUCACUAGCGUUAAACAUUGCAAAACAAACUGAAAUCUGCUGCAGGUCAUGUUGAAACUCAUCUUAUCGUACGAGUAAGCCAUUUAUUAAUGGAAGGACCAGAUUACGAUGCUCAGAUGGUCGAUCUGAUUGUUCAAUUCAUUAGGUCAUUGUCUAAUUCAGCUAGCCUAGUUGCUCUCGAUCAACAUGCUGAUGAAUGAACAACUGCACAAGUCCUAGGUGUUGCAGUGUUGAACUUUGUACUUGGCACCAGAGAUCGAUGGUGAGUGACAUUUGAUAAACCUCAUCUGGUAAAGUUCCUCCAAGGAGGCUUCCGGAGAAGGUGGGUCUCAAGUAGAUGGAGACACAAGUCCUCCCUUUGUCCAAGUGUCUAAUCAAGAGUGUUUAAGAUCAAGUGUGCAGUGUUGAUCUCGGGUGUGCAGGUGUAUGUAGCUCAGAGAUGGGAGCUAUCGGUAGUCUGUUGUAGCUUGUAUUUUUGUGCAAGGACAAACUAGGAAGUUUACGUACUUGUGGAUUCUGUUGCAUGUUUGUGUGAAUUGCAGAAAUGUGAUUUCAUUCAAUCGCA